UCUUUUUCGGCUUUACGCUAACUAAGAUCAUAACUCAGUCCAAAACUGAUAUCAUAUCAUGUUAUAGCCCAUGGUAACUAUCUGACCCAUGUUAUAGCCCGUGGUGGCUAUCCGACCUUCGUUAUAGUUUGUGGUGACUAUCCAGACUAUAUUAUGGCCUGUGGAGUCUAUCUAACUCAUGUUAUAGCUCGUGGUGGCCUUCCACGUAUAAGCUUGUGGAGGCUUUCCAUGUGUUAGCCUAUUGGCACAAUGACGAUAUUAGUCCAAACCAUAUCUUAUCCGUCGGAUUUAUUUGUUACUCUUGUCAAAUCAAUUAUCA
rnacentral:lncRNA from 1 species